rnacentral:rRNA from 1 species
UACGUAGGGGGCAAGCGUUGUCCGGAAUCAUUGGGCGUAAAGCGCGUGUAGGCGGCUCGAUAAGUCUGCUGUGAAAGCUCAGGGCUCAACCCUGAAAUGCCGGUGGAAACUGUCGGGCUAGAGUCCGGAAGAGGCGAGUGGAAUUCCUGGUGUAGCGGUGAAAUGCGCAGAUAUCAGGAGGAACACCAAUGGCGAAGGCAGCUCGCUGGGACGGUACUGACGCUGAGACGCGAAAGCGUGGGGAGCAAACAGG